rnacentral:rRNA from 1 species
UACGUAGGGGGCAAGCGUUUGUCCGGAUUCAUUGGGCGUAAAGAGCGUGUAGGCGGCCAGGUAGGUCGGUUGUGAAAACUGGAGGCUCAACCUUCAGAGGUCGACCGAAACCAUCUGGCUAGAGUCCGGGAGAGGAGAGUGGAAUUCCUGGUGUAGCGGUGAAAUUCGUAGAUAUUGGGAAGAACACCGGUGGCGAAGGCGGCGCUCUGGACCGAGACUGACGCUGAGGCGCGAAAGCGUGGGGAGCAAACAGG